rnacentral:lncRNA from 1 species
CUUCAGACCUACUUGGAGAGGCUGGGGGGAAUCGCAGUCCAGGGGAUUCUGAUACACAAUGAAAUCUGAGGUCCAUUGGUGUAGGGCAUGAAGAAGGCCCCUGUUCUCACUUCAUUCUUCCUGCCCAGGUGGAUGCCCCGUCCCACUGGCAGCCCCAGCAAAGGCUACUUGGGGUCUGCACCUCAAACACAUUUCCUUCAGCCUAAAAGAAAACUUCUAAAGCAUGAGCAGCGAAACUGGAGAGUGGAUCCCUCGUCACAUCUCAGUGCUGAGAUGAUGAGGAAGAGUAGAAAAAGAAGACAAAGCCUUUUUGAACAGAGUGUUGUUCACUUAUGUUCAUCAGAUCCAAUCAAGCUCCCAAUCCUGUCAUGUCAACCCUGGCACCGCCACUCUUAUAUAACAAUGACGAUAAUUUUUGCUUUAUCUUCUUAACGUAAUCCUGGUG